rnacentral:rRNA from 1 species
CAUUUUUUACUGGAUAUAAUUUUAAAUAUUGCCUGCUCAAUGAAUAUAAAUAGCCGCAGAAAUUUAACUGUGCUAAGGUAGCAUAAUCAUUAGCCCUUUAAUUAAGGGCUUGUAUGAAUGGUUAAUCAUCCCAUUAACUUUAUUUUUUGAUUAUUUUCAAUUUAAACUAAAAAUAAAAAUGUUUUUAUAAAAAAAAAAGACGACAAGACCCUUUUGAACUUUACUUAAGUUUAGCUGGGGCAGCUUAAUAAUAAUAGUUUUAUUACACAAUUUAAAAUAAAUGAUCCUUUAAUAAUUGAUUAAAUGAACAAGUUACCAUAGGGAUAACAGCAUAAUUUCUUUUUAAAGCUCUUAUUAAAAAAGAAGAUUAUGACCUCGAUGUUGAAUUAAUAUUUCUUUUAAAAUGCAGUAAUUUUGAAAGUAGGUCUGUUCGACCUUUAAAAUUUUAC